AUAUUAUAAGUAAUGUAAGUGUGUGCCGGCUUCGUAUUUGUGUGUGUCUGUAGGCUGACAUAUUCAGGUUGAUCAGUGGUAGUAAACCUUACUGAAAACAAAAUUUUAUAAUUUUAAAAUGGAUGGGCAAAACUGUAUGGAAAUAUGUCGUGAAACAAUAUCAUAUGCAAGGCGAAUGAUUUGAAUAAUCAAACAAAAUAUAGCUGGCGCACCUACGAAUGGAUUAUACGCGCGCUUUUCUUCCAGUACUUUUCCAUUAAAACCUUGGCGCAUCCAUAAUUUGAAGCUCAUAAAUGUAUGUUCGCUCCCUCACAUUCACAAAUUGAUCAGUGCUUUUACGCAUUUGCAACGUGAUAGAUGAAUAAAUUUGGAGCUGAUGAUUGAAAGAAAAAUAAAAAUUAAAGGGUUGGCGACCUCGUC